AUUGUAGAAUGUCUCCUUGUCUCUUCUUGCUAUCCUUUGGAAUUCUGCAUUCAGUUGCAUAAAUUUAUUCCGAUCUCCACUACCUUUCACUUUCCUACUUUCUUGGGCUAUUUUUAAAGCCUCAUCAGAUAGCCAGUAUGCCUUUUUAGAUUUCUUUCUUUUGGGGAUAUUUUUUCUUGCGGUUUCCUGGAUAAUAUUGCACACUUCGGUCCAAAGUUCUUCAGGCAUUCUAUCGUCCAUGUCUAGUCCCUGAAAUCUAUUCUUUACUUCCCCUGCAUAUUCAUAAGAGAUAUUAUUUAUGUUGUAUCUGAUUGGUUUGAUGGUUUUCCCUCUUUUCUUCAGUUUAAUUCUAAACUUUGCAUGGUCUGAGCCACAGUCAGCUCCAGGUCUUGUUUUUGCUGACUGUAUAGAGCUCCUCCAUCUUUGGCUACAAAGUAUAUAUAAGAUUUCUAUAUUUUCCAUUUGGUGUUGUCCAUGAGUCGUCUCAGAGGCUGUUGAAAGAAGGUGUAUGCUAUGACCAGAGAAUUAUCUUGACAGAAUUCUACUAAUCUCUGACCUGCUUCAUUUUGAACUCCAAGGCCAAACUUGCCUACUUUAGCAUUCCAGUCUCCUAUGAGGAUAGUAACAUCUUUUCUUGGUGUUAAAUCUAUCAUGUGUUGACUAUCUUCAUAGAACUGGACAAUUUAAGCAUCUUCAGCAUCCAUGGUUGGAGCAUAAACUUGGAUCACUGUGAUGUUAAAU